AGAGAAUUGCUUGUGGUGGCCGGCAUAGUGCAGUAAUCACAGAUGCUGGGGUGCUGCUUACAUUUGGCUGGGGAUUGUAUGGGCAGUGUGGACUAGGUAAUACAAACGACGUGCUGAGGCCAACUUGUGUCUCUUCUCUAUUGAACACUAGAAUAGAAGCCGUGGCAGGUGGACUAUGGCAUUCUGUGUGCUUAUGUGAUCAUGGCCGUGUGUAUACUUUUGGGGGAAAUCAGUUUGGCCAAUUGGGUCUAGGUACAGGCGCGGACCAUGCAGAGGUGCGUCCAAGAUUUAUCACUUGUUUUGUGUCUUUCUAAUAAACUCUUGUUUAUGGACUCAACAGUUUCAAUGUCCAAUAGUAAUAUCUAGUUGAGGCUGAAUUAUGAUGUCAUCUAAGAGUUUGGCUAGUCGUACCAUGAGAUGUGCCCAGAAGUAGGAUUUGUUGAAAUCACAGUCCAG